CUCGUAGGCGGCCAACUAAGUCAGACGUGAAAUCCCUCGGCUUAACCGGGGAACUGCGUCUGAUACUGGUUGGCUUGAGUUUGGGAGAGGGAUGCGGAAUUCCAGGUGUAGCGGUGAAAUGCGUAGAUAUCUGGAGGAACACCGGUGGCGAAGGCGGCAUCCUGGACCAACACUGACGCUGAGGAGCGAAAGCCAGGGGAGCAAACG
rnacentral:rRNA from 1 species